ACACACACACACACACACACACACACACUUCACAGCACUCUGUCCCAUAAUACAGGCCAGUCAGCAGACCAUUAGUCCUCGCAGGAAUCCCACGGAGUCGCAGAAGAUACCAGAGUGCCUCGCGAUGCACUGAGUCAAACGCCUUCUUGAGAUGGACAUAAGCUGCAAGCAUCCCCUGUCCAAACUCACAUUGGUGCUCCACCAGUACGCUAGGAUACGGUCAGUUGUUGACUUAGCAGGCGUGAACCCACACUGUUCAGGUCUCUGCAGCUUCAGCAGCUGGCUGCGAAUGCACCAGCAACAGGUGGGCAAGCCCCUUGCCUGGCACACUGAGCGGUGUAAUACCACGGUAGUUGUUGCAGUCCACCAACAGUUUGGCCCACAGUAACUCCCUACAUAUUCAUUAUUCAAAGGAACAAAAAAACAAGUCAGUGCAACAUGGUCUGGAGCAAGGGAAGGAGAAAUGGCAAGCUGCAUUUAUGCUGAGCAAAUUUAGCCCCAAAAAGUUACAAAUAUGGAAGUGUACAUGUUUAUGGCUGUUUUAAUUGAUAUUAUAUGCAGCACACCAUGGAUUGCUUCCCUCACCCCAUACUUUUUUGUGUGUGUUAUACCUGUUGUUGUUGUUGACUCUAAGAGAGUGACUUGCUAGGAAUUAUAGAUGCCAGGGCCGACAGAACCAGGGUGGGAGGUGAAAUUAUAAGUUUUUUAUAACCUUUGCUGGGCGGGAUGGAGCACACUAACACCAGACAGAGAACCAGGUGGAGAGGUGGAGUUAUAACCUUUGCCAGGGCAGGAUGGAGCACACUUAACACCAGACAGAGAACCAGGUGGAGAGGUGGAGUUAUAACCUUUGUCGGGGUAGGAUGGAGCACACUAACGCCAGACAGAGAACCAGGUGGACAGAUGGAAUUAUAACCUUUUGGCAGGGCAGGAUGGAGCACACUAACGCCAGACAGAGAACCAGGUGGACAGAUGGAAUUAUAACCUUUGCCAGGGCAGGAUGGAGCACACUAACACCAGACAGAGAACCAGGUGGACAGAUGGAAUUAUAACCUUUGCCAGGGCGGGAUGGAGCACACUAACACCAGACAGAGAGCUAGGCGGAGAGUUGGAAUCAGAGCAUUAGCCUGAACAAGGAGGAAUAUACUAACAUGACAGGAGAGUUAGAGCAUCCAAGGAAAGGCCAUAAUCCUGUAGUGGACUGUUGAUGGUUAACCUGUCCACUGCAACUGUCAGGGAUUUGUCCUUCUCUGGUAGCCUGGUAAAAUAUAGUCCCAGGUUUCCUCUGCCUCUAUGGUGGAUAGUGGAGUGUUUCCCAUGUGGUAUUGGUGUGCUGGAUAUUCCUUCACUGGUAGCCUGGUAACAUAUAGUCCCAGGUUUCCUCUGCCUCUAUGGUGGAUAGUGGAGUGUUUCCCAUGUGGUAAUGGUGUGCUGGAUAUCCCUUCACUGGUAGCCUGGUAACAUAUAGUCCCAGGUUUCCUCUGCCUCUAUGGUGGAUAGUGGAGUGUUUCCCAUGUGGUAAUGGUGUGCUGGAUAUCCCUUCACUGGUAGCCUGGUAACAUAUACUCCCAGGUCUUUCUCUGCCUCUGUGGUGGAUAGUGGAGUGUUUCCCAUGUGGUAUUGGUGUGCUGGAUAUCCCUUCACUGGUAGCCUGGUAACAUACACUCCCAAGGCUUUCUCUGCCUCUGUGGUGGAUAGUGGAGUGUUUGCCAUGUGGUAUUGGUGUGCUGAAUAUCCCCUCCAAAGGUGCAGGACUUAACAUUUUUAUUCAUUUAAUUAUAGCAGACACUUUGUUCCAUUCCUGUAGCUUGGUGAGGUCAAGGGUUAAACAUAGUAAUGUAAUGCCAUUUUCUUGCAUGGGAUGUGUAUUAGUACUGUGUGACCCUGAUGUGAAAUUUGUCGUUUGAGAGGAAUGAAAGGUUGUCAUGUUUGGUUGUUGUUCAGCAGUACAGUGAUCAGCAGGAUCCUCCAGCAGACCAAGCACUGGGGUUUGGGAGUGUAUUUUUUCUUUUUUCCAAUUCUUUGCCGAUCGAAGGGCUUCCUCAGUAGUUAUUUAGCAAGAUUGAAUUAGUUUCCAUUCUUGUUUCCAGUAUAGUCAUGGAAACAUAAAGAGGUAAGCUUGUGGUUGUUGCAGCAUAUUUUUCUUCUUUCUACAAACACUGUUUUCAACUUUCUU